GCCUCGGUGGUGUAGUGGUAGGGCACGCAUCCCUGGAUAAGAGAAAGCGCGGGUUCAAAACCCGACUGAGGCA